CGCGUAGGCGGCCAUGCAAGUCUGGAGUGAAAGUCCUUAUUUUAAGUGAGGAAUUGCUUUGGAAACUGCGUGGCUUGAGUGCAGGAGAGGUUAUCGGAAUUCCCGGUGUAGCGGUGAAAUGCGUAGAGAUCGGGAGGAACACCAGUGGCGAAGGCGGGUGACUGGACUGCAACUGACGCUGAGGCGCGAAAGUGUGGGGAGCAAACA
rnacentral:rRNA from 1 species